GAGAUAAUUUCAGUCGGCGAAGGU
rnacentral:siRNA from 1 species